UCAUCGAACCAGUCAUCAACCUGUCCAGCACUCACCUUGACCUGGCUCCCAGUAGGCUCCAUGUGCCAAUUUAAGGGAUCGUCGAUCCCUUUCCCCUAGAUGAGUCUCACAGAAGGGGAAAAGAUUGCAAUCUCCAUCAAGUUCUUUUGGGGAAGGCUCUACCCCAGGAUAUAUACUCAAUGCCCCGACGAAUCUCAAAGAUGGUUGGACGAAUACGAUCGUAAG
rnacentral:lncRNA from 1 species